rnacentral:rRNA from 1 species
GACGAACGCUGGCGGCGUGCUUAACACAUGCAAGUCGAACGGAAAGGCCCUGCUUUUGUGGGGUGCUCGAGUGGCGAACGGGUGAGUAACACGUGAGUAACCUGCCCUUGACUUUGGGAUAACUUCAGGAAACUGGGGCUAAUACCGGAUAGGAGCUCCUGCUGCAUGGUGGGGGUUGGAAAGUUUCGGCGGUUGGGGAUGGACUCGCGGCUUAUCAGCUUGUUGGUGGGGUAGUGGCUUACCAAGGCUUUGACGGGUAGCCGGCCUGAGAGGGUGACCGGCCACAUUGGGACUGAGAUACGGCCCAGACUCCUACGGGACGCAGCAGUGGGGAAUAUUGCACAAUGGGCGGACGCCUGAUGCAGCAACGCCGCGUGCGGGAUGACGGCCUUCGGGUUGUAAACCGCUUUCGCCUGUGACGAAGCGUUAGUGACGGUAAUGGGUAAAGAAGCACCGGCUAACUACGUG